UACGUAGGGGGCAAGCGUUGUCCGGAAUUACUGGGCGUAAAGGGCGCGUAGGCGGCCUACUAAGUCGGACGUGAAAUCCCUCGGCUCAACCGGGGAACUGCGUCCGAUACUGGUGGGCUUGAAUCCGGGAGAGGGAUGUGGAAUUCCAGGUGUAGCGGUGAAAUGCGUAGAUAUCUGGAGGAACACCGGUGGCGAAGGCGGCAUCCUGGACCGGUAUUGACGCUGAGGCGCGAAAGCUAGGGGAGCAAACGGG
rnacentral:rRNA from 1 species